AUCUAGCUGACGAGUCCCAUCUAUGACGAAACGUCUGUCCUGGAU
rfam:Schistosoma curassoni strain Dakar, Senegal genome assembly, scaffold: SCTD_scaffold0000265